AGUACAAGGCUCAGUAGCACUAUGGGAGUUUUCUUUACUUUGAGGCAGGGUGUCAGGCUAUGCAGCCCAGGCUAGUUUUGAACUAGAGAUUCUCUUGAUCAGUCCUCCCAGCUGCUUGGGCUGCAGAAGCACACACACCACUGUCCUAGUUCUCUGCUGCUAAUGUGAUGAAGACCAUGACCAAAAGCAGCUGAGGGAAGAAAGGGCUGAUGCACAUUUACAGUCAUCAUGACGAGAAGACAUAGCAGGGAUUCCUGACAGGACCCUGAGGAACAAUGCUUCCUUGCUUGCUUAUGGCUCCCUCAGGUUGGUAUUUUAUAUAAUCCAGGACCACGUGCCCAGACAAGACACCAUCCACAAUGAGCUGAGCCCUCAACUCCAAUGGCAUCAAAAAUGGAGGUAUUUUCUCAGUUGAGAUUACCUCUUCCCUGGUGACAUCAAAACUAGCCAGCACAACUGCUUACUCUCAGCUUGGAGUUUACAUAAAAGCUAGUUUUUGUGAACCAGAAGUAGAAGAGGUGGCUGCAAAGAGAAUGACAUUCCAGACUCAGGGAACCAGAAGAACAUGACCCUUCCAGCAAGAAAAUGCUUGGUACCUCCAUCUCUCCUGGAGUUCUUUGCACAGUGAACAGUCUUUAUAGAUGACGUCUUGGGUCACUGGGAGGGCAGGAAUGAUGCUGGGGAUGUCGCUAGUCCGCUAUUGUCACAGAGGCAGAUGGAAGAAGUUCUAGAUCCCCGCCGGAGUUUGGAUGCAGGUUUCCACCACCAUACUCACUGGAUCAAGAUGUGGAGCUCUCCGUUCCUUCUCCAGCACCAUGUCUGCCUGCAUGUCACCAUGUCUUGCCAUAAUAAUAAUGAACUAAACCUCUGAAACUGUAAGCCACCCCAAUUAAAUGUUUUCCUUUAUAAGAGUCACCAUGGUCUCGAGCCAGGCAGUAAUGGUGCACACCUUUAAUCCCAGCA